rnacentral:rRNA from 1 species
AUUGAACGCUGGCGGAAUGCUUUACACAUGCAAGUCGAACGGCAGCACGGGGGCAACCCUGGUGGCGAGUGGCGAACGGGUGAGUAAUACAUCGGAACGUGCCCAGUCAUGGGGGAUAACGUAGCGAAAGCUACGCUAAUACCGCAUACGAACUGAGGUUGAAAGCGAGGGAUCGCAAGACCUCGCGCGAUUGGAGCGGCCGAUGGCAGAUUAGGUAGUUGGUGGGGUAAAGGCCUACCAAGCCGACGAUCUGUAGCUGGUCUGAGAGGAAGACCAGCCAAACUGGGACGGAGACACGGCCCAGACUCCUACGGGAGGCAGCAGUGGGGAAUUUUGGACAAUGGGCGCAAGCCUGAUCCAGCCAUUCCGCGUGCAGGAUGAAGGCCCUCGGGUUGUAAACUGCUUUUGUACGGAACGAAAAGGCUUUCUCUAAUACAGAGAGCUCAUGACGGUACCGUAAGAAUAAGCACCGGCUAACUACGUGCCAGCAGCCGCCGUAAGAC